AACAGGAUUAGAUACCCUGGUAGUCCACGCCCUAAACGAUGAAUACUCGGUGUUGGGUUUUAUUACUCAGCGCCUAAGCUAACGCAUUAAGUAUUCCACCUGGGAAGUACGAUCGCAAGGUUGAAACUCAAAGGAAUUGACGGGGGCCCGCACAAGCAGUGGAGCAUGUGGUUUAAUUCGAUGCAACGCGAAGAACCUUACCUGGGCUUGAAAGGCUAGAUUAUAGACGAUGAAAGUCGUUUACCCGCAAGGGGUCUAGUACAGGUGCUGCAUGGCUGUCGUCAGCUCGUGCCGUGAGGUGUUAGGUUAAGUCCUGCAACGAGCGCAACCCCUACACUUAGUUGCCAUCAGGUAAUGCUAGGCACUCUAAGUGGACUGCCUACGCAAGUAGCGAGGAAGGUGGGGAUGACGUCAAGUCCUCAUGGCCCUUACGCCCAGGGCCACACACGUGCUACAAUGGCCACUACAAAGGGUUGCCAAAGCGCAAGCUGGAGCUAAUCCCAAAAAAGUGGUCUCAGUUCAGAUUGUGGGCUGCAACUCGCCCACAUGAAGCUGGAAUUGCUAGUAAUCGUGGAUCAGCAUGCCACGGUGAAUACGUUCCCGGGUCUUGUACACACCGCCCGUCACACCAUGGGAGUGGGUUUCACCAGAAGUAGGUAGCCUAACCGCAAGGAGGGCGCUUACCUCGGUGGGAUUCAUGACUGGGGUGAAGUCGUAACAAGGUAACCAAGGGC
rnacentral:rRNA from 1 species